GAUGAACGCUGGCGGCGUGCCUAAUACAUGCAAGUCGAGCGAACAGACGAGGAGCUUGCUCCUCUGACGUUAGCGGCGGACGGGUGAGUAACACGUGGAUAACCUACCUAUAAGACUGGGAUAACUUCGGGAAACCGGAGCUAAUACCGGAUAAUAUAUUGAACCGCAUGGUUCAAUAGUGAAAGACGGUUUUGCUGUCACAUAUAGAUGGAUCCGCGCCGCAUUAGCUAGUUGGUAAGGUAACGGCUUACCAAGGCGACGAUGCGUAGCCGACCUGAGAGGGUGAUCGGCAACACUGACACUGAGACACGGUACAGACUCCUACGGGAGGCAGCAGUAGGGAAUCUUCCGCAAUGGGCGAAAGCCUGACGGAGCAACGCCGCGUGAGUGAUGAAGGUCUUCGGAUCGUACAACUCUGUUAUUAGGGAAGAACAAAUGUGUAAGUAACUAUGCACGUCUUGACGGUACCUAAUCAGAAAGCCACGGCUAACUACGUG
rnacentral:rRNA from 1 species